rnacentral:rRNA from 1 species
UACGUAGGGGGCAAGCGUUGUCCGGAUUUAUUGGGCGUAAAGGGCGCGUAGGCGGCUUGGCAAGUGGAAGGUGAAAUCCCUCGGCUUAACCGAGGAACUGCCCUCCAAACUGCUUCGCUUGAGACCGGGAGAGGUGAGUGGAAUUCCCAGUGUAGCGGUGAAAUGCGUAGAUAUUGGGAGGAACACCAGUGGCGAAGGCGGCUCACUGGACCGGUACUGACGCUGAUGCGCGAAAGCGUGGGGAGCAAACGGG